GAUAAGGUUAAGUGAAUAAGGGCGCACGGUGGAUGCCUUGGCACUAGGAGCCGAUGAAGGACGGGACUAACACCGAUAUGCUUUGGGGAGCUGUAAGUAAGCUAUGAUCCAGAGAUUUCCGAAUGGGGGAACCCAAUAUCUUUUAUAGGAUAUUACUUUUCAGUGAAUACAUAGCUGAUUAGAGGUAGACGCAGAGAACUGAAACAUCUUAGUACCUGCAGGAAGAGAAAGAAAAUUCGAUUCCCUGAGUAGCGGCGAGCGAAACGGGAAGAGCCCAAACCAACAAGCUUGCUUGUUGGGGUUGUAGGACUCCAAUAUGGUAGUCUGUUAGUAUAGUUGAAGGAUUUGGAAAAUUCCGCUAAAGAGGGUGAAAGCCCCGUAGACGAAAUGCUAACAACACCUAGGAGGAUCCUGAGUACGGCGGAACACGAGAAAUUCCGUCGGAAUCCGCGGGGACCAUCCCGCAAGGCUAAAUACUCCCUAGUGACCGAUAGUGAACCAGUACCGUGAGGGAAAGGUGAAAAGCACCCCGGAAGGGGAGUGAAAUAGAUCCUGAAACCGUGUGCCUACAACAAGUCAAAGCUCGUUAAUGAGUGAUGGCGUGCCUUUUGUAGAAUGAACCGGCGAGUUACGAUUGCAUGCGAGGUUAAGUCGAAGAGACGGAGCCGCAGC
rnacentral:rRNA from 1 species